rnacentral:rRNA from 1 species
GAUGAACGCUAGCUACAGGCUUAACACAUGCAAGUCGAGGGGAAACGGCAUCGAAAGCUUGCUUUUGAUGGGCGUCGACCGGCGCACGGGGGAGUAACGCGUAUCCAACCUGCCCAUCACUUGGGAAUAACCUUGCGAAAGUAAGACUAAUGCCCAAUGACAUCCCACGAAGGCAUCCGAAUGGGAUUAAAGAUUUAUCGGUGAUGGAUGGGGAUGCGUCUGAUUAGCUUGUUGGCGGGGUGACGGCCCACCAAGGCAACGAUCAGUAGGGGUUCUGAGAGGAAGGUCCCCCACAUUGGAACUGCGACACGGUCCAAACUCCUCCGGGAGGCAGCAGUGAGGAAUAUUGGUCAAUGGGCGAGAGCCUGAACCAGCCAAGUAGCGUGCAGGAUGACGGCCCUAUGGGUUGUAAACUGCUUUUAUAAGGGAAUAAAGUGGGUCACGUGUGACUUUUUGCAUGUACCUUAUGAAUAAGGACCGGCUAAUUCCGUG